UACGAAGGGGGCUAGCGUUGUUCGGAUUUACUGGGCGUAAAGGGUGCGUAGGCGGAUUUUUAAGUCAGGGGUGAAAUCCCAAGGCUCAACCUUGGAACUGCCUUUGAUACUGGGGAUCUUGAGUCCGGGAGAGGUGAGUGGAACUGCGAGUGUAGAGGUGAAAUUCGUAGAUAUUCGCAAGAACACCAGUGGCGAAGGCGGCUCACUGGUCCAUUACUGACGCUGAGGCACGAAAGCUAGGGGAGCAAACAGG
rnacentral:rRNA from 1 species